CUCUUCGGUUAAUACCCGGAGACGAUGACAUUAGCUGCAGAAUAAGCACCGGCUAACUCUGUGCCAGCAGCCGCGGUAAUACAGAGGGUGCAAGCGUUAAUCGGAAUUACUGGGCGUAAGGCGAGCGUAGGUGGCUUGAUAAGUCAGAUGUGAAAUCCCCGGGCUUAACCUGGGAACUGCAUCUGAAACUGUUAGGCUAGAGUAGGUGAGAGGGAAGUAGAAUUUCAGGUGUAGCGGUGAAAUGCGUAGAGAUCUGAAGGAAUACCGAUGGCGAAGGCAGCUUCCUGGCAUCAUACUGACACUGAGGCUCGAAAGCGUGGGUAGCAAACAGGAUUAGAUACCCUGGUAGUCCACGCCGUAAACGAUGUC
rnacentral:rRNA from 1 species